CGGGACGUAGCUCAGCCUGGCAGAGCACUGGCUUCGGGAGUCAGGGGUCGCAGGUUCAAAUCCUGCCGUCCCGACCA
rnacentral:tRNA from 1 species